rnacentral:sRNA from 1 species
ACUGUGUGAGGUGCAGUACAGAAGCUGGAAGCACUCUAUCCAUACUCUUCCUUUCUGGGAAAUGAGGUACAAAUUCCCUCUUCACUCUAGAAGCAGAAGUAGGGAAUCAUUGUUCCACCCUAACAAAUGGUAAUGAAAGCUAAAUUUAUUGCAUGUUUCCAAUGUGCUAGGCUCUGUGCUAAGUACUUCGUAUUCAUUAGCUCUUUUUAUUCUUGGAACAUCUCUAAGAAGUAUCUAUCCACAUUAUGCAGAUGAGGAAACUGAGGCUCAGAAAUGGGAAUUUACUUGAUCCAGAUCACCUAGCUAGAAAGCAGCGAGGCAGACAUCUGAAGCCAAGUCUGCCUAGCGUCAAAGCCUAUGUCCCUGGGCAGUUAUGUGUACUACUCCACUACCUAAAGGUCUCCUAGUGCCUCUGACUCAGUGGUGAUGAGCUUUGAGUUUUCUUUCUUCUUUGCAUCCCAGCUUGCACUGGUUUCCGCCUCCGACCUGUGGCUGGCCUGCUUUCCUCUCGGGAUUUCUUGGGUGGCCUGGCCUUCCGAGUCUUCCACUGCACACAGUACAUCAGACAUGGAUCCAAGCCCAUGUAUACCCCCGAACCUGACAUCUGCCAUGAGCUGUUGGGACAUGUGCCCUUGUUUUCAGAUCGCAGCUUUGCCCAGUUUUCCCAGGAAAUUGGCCUUGCCUCUCUGGGUGCACCUGAUGAAUACAUUGAAAAGCUCGCCACAAUUUACUGGUUUACUGUGGAGUUUGGGCUCUGCAAACAAGGAGACUCCAUAAAGGCAUAUGGUGCUGGGCUCCUGUCAUCCUUUGGUGAAUUACAGUACUGCUUAUCAGAGAAGCCAAAGCUUCUCCCCCUGGAGCUGGAGAAGACAGCCAUCCAAAAUUACACUGUCACGGAGUUCCAGCCCCUGUAUUACGUGGCGGAGAGUUUUAAUGAUGCCAAGGAGAAAGUAAGGAA